rnacentral:tRNA from 1 species
GCGCCUGUAGCUCAGCUGGAUAGAGCGACUGCCUCCUAAGCCGUAGGCCCCGCGUUCGAAUCGCGGCAGGCGCACCA